AUAGCGUAUAUUAAAGUUGUUGCAGUUAAAAAGCUCGUAGUUGAACUUCAGACCUGGCUGGAUGGUCUGCCUAACGGUAUGUACUGUCCGGCUGGGCCUUACCUCUUGGUGAGCCGGCAUGCCCUUCACUGGGUGUGUCGGGGAACCAGGACUUUUACCUUGAGAAAAUUAGAGUGCUCAAAGCAGGCUUAUGCUCGAAUAAAUUAGCAUGGAAUAAUAAAAUAGGACGUGCGGUUAUAUUUUGUUGGUUUAUAGAGUCGUAGUAAUGAUUAAUAGGGAUAGUUGGGGGAAUUAGUAUUAAGUUGAUAGAGGUGAAAUUCUUGGAUUUAAUGAAGACUAAAUAAUG
rnacentral:rRNA from 1 species